AUGGGCCAUCAGAUUUGCCAAGUGUCAAGUGUUUGGAGCAACACCAACACCCUUGAUCUCUACACUUCCAGUCUGGCUUUUCUGGUCCCAGGAGCCACAGGGAAUCUCUCACCACCAAUGGUCCUGCACCAAGUCUCAUGGAGUGUGAUGUCCCUGGAGGAGAAUUCCAACUACUGGAUGGGGGAAGAUGCUUGUCAUCACUGGGAGGCUUUGCUGUAGGGAGCUGGCUGAUGGCAAGAAGAGAGGAAUAACUGCAUGUGCUAGGCUAGAAUGCUGGCAUGACUCCACUCAGCAAAGGGACCACUGAGACACAGAAGACCAAGGGGAUCAGUCAGCAGUGACCUGCAGCCAGUUCCCAGCCCCUUGAAAAGCAUGGCUUAAGUUGACAGCUGGCUUAGAGGUGUUCAAAGGAGCUGCACCUUCUUCAGUGUGGCCGUGCAGCUGCAAAGUCUGGGGAUCUGAGCAGUGCUUUAAUGCUGAGCAUGACCUUAAUUGUACAAAGACAGAAGAAACUUGAGAGCCUCUGCUGGCUCAGCUUGGCAUGAUGUGCAAGCAUGCUGGCACCCUUUCAUCCCAGACAUUCAAAUGUGAUGCAGGAUUUUCCCAAGCUGUUUCCAGCUGCAGCUUUGAUAGAUUUAGCCCUUCCAGCACAUAGAAAGCAAGAGCAGUGAGUGUUUCUGAUGCCAGGUUGUGUAACCCAGCAUUAGGAGCUUGUCCCAGGCCCUACACUGAGAAACCAUAUUCUCCACUCCAGGAGAGGCCUGCAGCCUGGAUCACUCACCUGCAGAUGUCCACCAGACCAGGCAUUAUCUCUGAGUGCUUGUUGUAACUUGCCUUGCUGCUGCAUUGCUGUCCUGUAAAAAAAGGGAAAAUUACUAAAAUGCUCAGUCAUCCUGCUAUUAACCCCCCAGGAGUGCAUCCCUGCUGGCUUUAUGGCUCACUGUUUAUCAGCACUGGGCUGCUGUUGCAGGGCAUUUAGAAGCAUUGAAAGAUUUGUGCGUAGAUUCAUUGGUUGUCUAAGAGAUCUUGUUGAUCACCAACUUAAAAGUUAGUGUGUGUCUGCUAUGAUUGCUUGCAUGGCUAUAAAACAUUAAAGAGAUAAUUGUUC
rnacentral:lncRNA from 1 species